GUCGACCGAAUGAGAUUAAAAGCUUGCUCUUAUGAAGUUAGCGGCGGACGGGUGAGUAACACGUGGGUAACCUGCCCAUAAGACUGGGAUAACUCCGGGAAACCGGGGCUAAUACCGGAUAACAUUUUGAACCGCAGGGUUCUAAAUUGAAAGGCGGCUUCGGCUGUCACUUAUGGAUGGACCCGCGUCGCAGUAUCUAGUUGGUGAGGUAACGGCUCACCAAGGGGCAACUAUUGCAUAACCAACCUGAGAGGGUGAUCGGCCACACUGGGACUGAGACACGGCCCAGACUCCUACGGGAGGCAUCAAUAGGGAAUCUUCCGCAAUGGACGAAAUUCUGACGGAGCAACGCCGCGUGAGUGAUGAAGGCUUUCGGGUCGUAAAACUCUGUUGUUAGGGAAGAACAAGUGCUAGUUGAAUAAGCUGGCACCUUGACGGUACCUAACCAGAAAGCCACGGCUAACUACGUGCCACCAGCCGCGGUAAUACUUAUGUGGCAAGCGUUAUCCGGAAUUAUUGCGCGUAAAGCGCGCGCAGGUGGUUUCUUAAGUCUGAUGUGAAAUCCCACGGCUCAACCGUGGAGGGUCAUUGGAAACUGGGAGACUUGAGUGCAGAAGAGGAAAGUGGAAUUCCAUGUGUAGCGGUGAAAUGCAUAGAGAUAUGGAGGAACACCAGUGGCGAAUGCGACUUUCUGGUCUGUAACUGACACUGAGGCGCGAAAGCGUGGGGAGCAAACGGGAUUAGAUACCCUGGUAGUCCACGCCGUAACGAUGAGUGCUAAGUGUUAGAGGGUUUCCGCCCCUUUAGUGCUGAAAUUAACGCAUUAAGCACUCCGCCUGGGGAGUACUGCCGCGAAGGCUGAAACUCAAGGACUUGACGGGGGCCCGCACGAGCAGAUGGAGCAUGUGGUUUAAAUUCGUAGCAACGCCGAAAACCUUAUGAGGUCUUGACAUCAUUCUGACAACCCUAGAGAUAG
rnacentral:rRNA from 1 species